GCUGGUCGUGGUGGCAGGCACCUGUAAUCCCAGCUACUUGGGAGGCUGAGGCAGGAGAAUCGCUUGAACCUGGGAGGUGGAGGUUGCAGUGAGCCAAGACUGCUCCACUGCACUCCAGCCUGGGCACAACAGUGAGACUCCAUCUCAAGAAAAAGAUCCAUACCUAUGAACUUUGUUAGUAAUUUUUUUUUUUAAAGACAAAGUUUCGCUCUCGUUGCCCAGGCUGGAGUGCAAUGGCACGAUCUUGGCUCACCGAAACCUCCGCCUUCCCAAGUUCAAGCGAUUCUCCUGC
rnacentral:lncRNA from 10 species